CUCCCUUCCGUCGACUCUCCCUCAUUUCAUCUUCAACAAAAACUCAAAUCCCCAAUCUCAAAACAAAGGCAAAACCCUAAUCUUCUUCUCCUUCCUCGGCGGAUUUCACCGCCACACCAGCCACCACGCACCACCAUCGCCGGCGCCAUCACGGGAGCUUGGUGGGCUCGCGCCGUCGACGUCUUCCCUCUCUGCGUCUCACGUUGGGUGCAGCCUACCGACGCGAAGCCGAUGCCGCCUCCGUCUCCAGCCGACGCCGCGGCUGUGUAGCCGCCUCCGUCGGGUCUCCCCGUUGCGCUGAGGCAGCACACGCUCCUGCCGGUGCCGUCACCUCUCCGGCGAGCUGCAGAUCCUUUCCUCGGCUAUCUCCGCCGGCUCGCCGCUGCUUCGCAGUCGGCGUCGUCUUCUCCAACAGAAAACUCCUAGGCUAAGUCUUCUACCUUAGCUAUUUAGGUGUUUUUCUCUACUUCGUUGGUUCGUGUCUGAACUUAAUCGUCCACCUACUGGGAUGAGCUUGACAGUUGGCUAAAGUGUUGUUCCUUUAAUUAUUUACGGCUUACUUAUGUUCUCUGAAACUAUGGGGUUCCUCUAGCAUGCUUGUGAUGUCUACAUGAUGCUAUAAUAUGGUUAACAGAGGUUGAAAGGAAGUGUGGUUACCUCCACUGAACUUGUGCUGCUAGUCCUUGUCUUUGCUCUUGUUUCACCCUCACCUCCUCCCCCUUCCUCGGCUCCUCUCUUUCUUUAAUUGGAUGUUGCUUUGUGAUAAAUGGGGAGGAAGAGGCCGAGGCUGAUCUAUACUUAUAGUUGGGGUGUAACUGAAAGCUGCAAGAGUUUGUUAUCUGACUGGAAAAGGAGCCUUAAGGCUGCCCUAUGUUGGCUGCCAUCCCUGCAGCUUGCAGGCUGGGUACUCGUGAGAUAAAUGAGCUUACAGUUCCUGGACAUGCUCUGAAAAAUUACUGAAUUUGGUGUUAUAUUCUGGUGUCCCUUUUGAUGUACAUCUUAACUGCAUUUGGCUUUAUUUUGCAGGUACGAGCUGGGCAGGGCUGUUGGGGUGAAGAGGCCGAAUGGACCGCCUCACUGCAGUCUUCGGUACCGGCUGCGGGGCAGGUCGCUGCAGGCUGUUGCAGGUCCCUCGGUGCCUUCAUUCUUGCUCAUUUAGCGUCGCACGGCUAGCUGCGGGGCUUUUCCUUUUUUUGGUCUCGCCCUCUCGGGCUUUCUGGAAUGUUGGGGCCAAGACGGCUCGCGUUGAAGGCCGAGGAAGUUCACUAGGAACUCUCGGUUGUUGUAGCUCAAAGUGAACCCCUUUUGUUAGUCUUAACAACAAUGUAGUAGCCAUUGUAGUUUGUAUGUAAUAAAUUCCAAACACUUGUAAUGUGUUAGCUUUGAAAAUUCUGAAGUUGUACUUGUACCCUUAUUCAAGAAAUAAAAAUACUCUUUCAUUCGUCAA